AAAAUGCGAUAAGUAAUGUGAAUUGCAGAAUUCAGUGAAUCAUCGAAUCUUUGAACGCACAUUGCGCCCGCCAGUAUUCUGGCGGGCAUGCCUGUUCGAGCGUCAUUUCAACCCUCAAGCCCCCGGGUUUGGUGUUGGGGAACGGGCUGCGGUUCUGCCGCGGCCCGGCCCCGAAAUCUAGUGGCGGUCUCGCUGCAGCCUCCAUUGCGUAGUAGCUAACACCUCGCAACUGGAACGCGGCGCGGCCAAGCCGUUAAACCCCCAACUUCUGAAUGUUGACCUCGGAUCAGGUAGGAAUACCCGCUGAACUUAAGC
rnacentral:misc_RNA from 1 species